rnacentral:rRNA from 1 species
CCUACGGGAGGCAGCAGUGAGGAAUAUUGGUCAAUGGUCGGGAGACUGAACCAGCCAAGCCGCGUGAGGGAUGAAGGUACAGAGUAUCGUAAACCUCUUUUGUCAGGGAACAAAGGCGGGGACGUGUCCCCGGAUGAGUGUACCUGAAGAAAAAGCAUCGGCUAACUCCGUGCCAGCAGCCGCGGUAAUACGGAGGAUGCGAGCGUUAUCCGGAAUUUAUGGGUUUAAAGGGGGGGCAGGCGGUAUGUUAAGUCAGCGGUCAAAGCCCGGGGCUCAACCCCGGCCCCGCCGUUGAAACUGGCAGUCUCGAGUUGGAGAGAAGUAUGCGGAAUGCGCGGUGUAGCGGUGAAAUGCAUAGAUAUCGCGCAGAACUCCGAUUGCGAAGGCAGCAUGCCGGCUCCACACUGACGCUGUGGCACGAAAGCGUGGGUAUCGAACAGGAUUAGAUACCCGGGUAGUC